UGCUCUCCAAUUUUUUAUAAAGUCCUGUAAGGCUGCAACAUCAUUUUCAUUUUUCUCUCUCUCUCCUCUAUUAUCAAUCUCUAUCUAAAAUAUGAUGAGAGAGUUUCAUCAGAACUACUCUAGCCUCUUCAUCUCUCCGCCGCUGAGUUGCAACAUUUGCUUCAGAUUUUAUGGUCUCAGAGGAACUAGUAGAGAGGGAGAAGAAGGGCAUAUGUUUUGUCUGGACUGAGUUCACAUUCAUGGCAGAGAGCAACUGCAAGAGCUGAUACCACACGUAGCACCAGUCUUUCUCAAUCUUACCCCUCUGUCAGGCCGGCCUUGGUCGAAUCAUGUUUCAAGUCUAGACUGUUUCGGUGGGACGUCGAAAAUUCAGUGUUGAUUUUUCAGCUGGUAUUUCGGCUCAUCAAGGGCUUGAUCUUCCUAACGUUUGUUGGUAUCCUGGUUACACUAAUAGUUUUACCAGGCAUGACAUUACAGGAUAUCAUAGUUUGCAUCCUUGCUUUUAUGCCCACUGGCUGGUGUCUACUUCAGGUACCAGGUCCAUUAUUCAAAGGAAAUUUAGCUCGUAUUAAUAUUGUGUUCACGCUUCAGAGGUAC